GGCCAAGAGACGGGACGAGGCGGAGGCGCGGGGGGUGUCCUGGUGUCAGAGAAGGAGGCUCUGCUCUUGGGCGUCAUGUCGGCUUUCCUGCACGUUCAUCCGUUUGGGGCCAACCUGGAAUACUUGUGCUCCUACGUGCACACGCUGGACUCCCAGGUGUCGUCGCGGCAGCUGGAGCGCCUGAUGGCCCGCCUCCCCCUCAUGUUCCGGCAGGAGCUGAGCGGCGUGGGCGCCACGCUGGAGAAGCGCUGGAAGUUCUGCGGCUUCGACAGCCUGCGCUCCGGAUGAGCCCUCCAUUAAAGGGCCCCGCCGGC